UUAGCUCCACUGGUAGAGCGCUCUACUGAAAAUGGAGAGGUCCCUGGUGCGAUACCAGGA
rnacentral:tRNA from 1 species